rnacentral:rRNA from 1 species
AACGAACGCUGGCGGCAUGCCUAACACAUGCAAGUCGAACGAUCCCUUCGGGGAUAGUGGCGCACGGGUGCGUAACGCGUGGGAACCUGCCCUUAGGUUCGGAAUAACUCAGAGAAAUUUGAGCUAAUACCGGAUAAUGUCUUCGGCCCAAAGAUUUAUUGCCUUUGGAUGGGCCCGCGUUGGAUUAGCUGGUUGGUGGGGUAAUGGCAUACCAAGGCGACGAUUCAUAGCUGGUUUGAGAGGAUGGUCACCCACACUGGGACGGAGACACGGCCCAGACUCCUACGGGAAGCAGGAGUGGGGAAUAUUGGACAAUGGGCGAAAGCCUGAUCCAGCACUGCCGCGUGAGUGAUGAAGGCCUUAGGGUUGUAAAGCUCUUUUACCCGGGAUGAUAAUGACAGUACCGAGAGAAUAAGCCCCGGCUAACUCCGUG